UAUGCUAUUGCAAAGUUUGCUGAAAGCUUUGAGAUGGUACCUAAAACUUUGGCUCAGAAUGCUGGGCUGAAUGCAAUGGAGAUCAUUUCCACCCUUUAUGCAGAUCAUGCAGCUGGAAAGACAAAAGUGGGUAUUGACUUGGAGGAAGGUGUUUGCAAGGAUGUAACUGCUAUGGAUAUUUGGGACCUCCAUGUGACCAAGUUCUUUGCCCUCAAAUAAGCGGCAGAUGCUGCCUGCACUGUGCUUCGGGUAGACCAGAUUAUAAUGGCAAAACCAGCGGGUGGUCCAAAGAGAGAUCAACCUGCAGCGGUGGACGAGG